rnacentral:rRNA from 1 species
UACGUAGGGUGCAAGCGUUAAUCGGAAUUACUGGGCGUAAAGGGUGCGUAGGCGGCGCGGUAAGUCGGGUGUGAAAUCUCGGGGCUUAACUCCGAAACUGCAUUCGAUACUGCCGUGCUUGAGGACUGGAGAGGAGACUGGAAUUUACGGUGUAGCGGUGAAAUGCGUAGAUAUCGUAAGGAAGACCAGUGGCGAAGGCGGGUCUCUGGACAGUUCCUGACGCUGAGGCACGAAGGCCAGGGGAGCAAACGGG